GCCCCGAUGGCGGAAUCGGGACGCAGCGGAUUCAAAAUCCGCCGCCGAAAGGUGUGCCAGUUCGAGUCUGGCUCGGGGCACCA
rnacentral:tRNA from 1 species